GUGCCUGUAGCUCAGCUGGACAGAGUGCCGCCCUCCGGAGGCGAAGGUCAAGAGUUCGAAUCUCUUCAGGCACG
rnacentral:tRNA from 1 species